rnacentral:lncRNA from 1 species
UUUAUUCGUACUUUUCCCUUUUCCCUUGGAAACAAUAAAAGUGCGGUGGCGACUCUGGUUUUAUUAACGUCUAGCUUAUCCAUAGCUUGAUGAUCAUGAAUUUACCGCUACAGCUCCAACAUGCCGUGCACCUUAUCAACAAGUGGUCGUCGUUUCACCUGUUCAAAAUUAAAAACCAUAUGAUAUUCCUACCGAUCAAUGGGUCGAUCAA